rnacentral:rRNA from 1 species
CCUACGGGGAGCAGCAGUGAGGAAUAUUGGUCAAUGGACGAGAGUCUGAACCAGCCAAGUAGCGUGAAGGAUGACUGCCCUAUGGGUUGUAAACUUCUUUUAUAUGGGAAUAAAAUGUUCCACGUGUGGGAUUUUGUAUGUACCAUAUGAAUAAGGAUCGGCUAACUCCGUGCCAGCAGCCGCGGUAAUACGGAGGAUCCGAGCGUUAUCCGGAUUUAUUGCGUUUAAAGGGAGCGUAGGUGGAUUGGUAAGUCAGUUGUGAAAGUUUGCGGCUCAACCGUAAAAUUGCAGUUGAAAAUGGCAGUCUUGAGUACAGUAGAGGUGGGCGGAAUUCGUGGUGUAGCGGUGAAAUGCUGAGAUAUCACGAAGAACUCCGAUUGCGAAGGCAGUUCACUGGACUGCAACUGACACUGAGGCUCGAAAGUGUGGGUAUCAAACAGGAUUAGAUACCCCUGUAGUC